CAUGACUUUUACAAUGAAGUGUCCUGGGUUUACCUUUGUUUUUCUUAUAGUGUCAGUUUACUGGGCUGGUACUGAAGGUCAAACACUGACUGAGACUGAAUCAGUGAUUAAAAGGCCUGGAGACUCCCACAGACUGACCUGUACAUACUCAGGAUUCAGCAGUGAUAUUCAUGCUGUUUGGAACAGACAGGCUGCUGGAAAAGGACUGGAGUGGAUUGCUUUUAUUGAGAGUGAUAGCAGCAAAAUCUACUACUCUCAGUCAUUCAGAGGCCGCUUCACCAUCUCCAGAGACAACAGCAGAAAGCAGGUGUAUCUGCAGAUGAACAGCUUGACGACUGAGGAUUCAGCUGUUUAUUAUUGUGCCAAAGAGCCACAGUGACACAAACCAUCAGCA